rnacentral:rRNA from 1 species
GAUGAACGCUGGCGGCGUGCUUAACACAUGCGAGUCGAACGAGAAGUGAAGACGGAAACCUUCGGGCGGAAGGCUUUAUUUCGAGUGGCGGACGGGUGAGUAACGCGUGGGUAACCUGCCUCAUACAGGGGGAUAACAGUUGGAAACGACUGUUAAUACCGCAUAAGACCACAGCACCGCAUGGUGCGGGGGUAAAAACUCCGGUGGUAUGAGAUGGACCCGCGUUCGAUUAGCCAGUUGGCGGGGUAACGGCCCACCAAAGCGACGAUCGAUAGCCGAUCUGAGAGGAUGACCGGCCACAUUGGGACUGCGACACGGCCCAAACUCCUACGGGAGGCAGCAGUGGGGAAUAUUGCACAAUGGGGGAAACCCUGAUGCAGCGACGCCGCGUGAGUGAAGAAGUAUUUCGGUAUGUAAAGCUCUAUCAGCAGGGAAGAAAAUGACGGUACCUGAGUAAGAAGCCCCGGCUAACUACGUG